GUAGUCGGCGGGCCGCGGGAGCGGGAACGCCGAGGCAACCAAGGUAUGUUCACAGGGGUUUGGGAGUGGAACUCGUACUUCCGUAGGUGACCUGCGGAGGGAUCAUUA
rnacentral:rRNA from 1 species